rnacentral:rRNA from 1 species
GAUGAACGCUAGCGGCGUGCCUAAUACAUGCCAGUCGAGCGAACAGACGAGGGGCUUGCUCCUCUGACGUUAGCGGCGGACGGGUGAGUAACACGUGGAUAACCUACCUAUAAGACUGGGAUAACUUCGGGAAACCGGAGCUAAUACCGGAUAAUAUAUUGAACCGCAUUGUUCAAUAGUGAAAGACGGUUUUGCUGUCACUUAUAGAUGUAUCCGCGCCGCAUUAGCUAGUUGGUAAGGUAACGGCUUACCAAGGCAACGAUGCGUAGCCGACCUGAGAGGGUGAUCGGCAACACUGGAACUGAGACACGGUACAGACUCCUACGGGAGGCAGCAGUAGGGAAUCUUCCGCAAUGGGCGAAAGCUUGACGGAGCAACGCCGCGUGAGUGAUGAAGGUCUUCGGAUCGUAAAACUCUGUUAUUAGGGAAGAACAAAUGUGUAAGUAACUAUGCACGUCUUGACGGUACCUAAUCAGAAAGCCACGGCUAACUACGUG